UCAGGCCUAACACAUGCAAGUCGAGCGAGGACUUCGGUCCCAGCGGCGGACGGGUGAGUAACGCGUGGGAACGUGCCCUUUGCUUCGGAAUAGCCCUGGGAAACUGGGAGUAAUACCGGAUGAGCCCUACGGGGGAAAGAUUUAUCGGCGAAGGAUCGGCCCGCGUUGGAUUAGGUAGUUGGUGGGGUAAUGGCCUACCAAGCCGACGAUCCAUAGCUGGUUUGAGAGGAUGAUCAGCCACACUGGGACUGAGACACGGCCCAGACUCCUACGGGAGGCAGCAGUGGGGAAUCUUAGACAAGUGGGGGAAACCCUGAUCUAGCCAUGCCGCGUGAGUGAAGAGAGGCCUUAGGGUUGUAAAGCUCUUCAGCUGGGAAGAUAAUGA
rnacentral:rRNA from 1 species